UUUCCUAACUUAUUGGCGGUAAUGUUAUACUUGUAUUUCGUAAAGAAUCCUUAUAACCAAGAACUAACUAAAAUUAUGUAUAUUCUUUUUUCUAACAAAACAUUGAAUUAACAACAACAAUAAUAUGAAAAUGCGUAUAUAUCUUAUACGGCAACUGUGGCCCGAGGCAGCAGCGCUCGCCACUUUGCAGGUAUCAGAUACCUUAACCUUAAAUAAGCAUAUUUUUACUGCGCAAAGCAGGUGUAGUCACUUAUUGUGACUUAGUGAGCUUUUAUAUUUAUUUAUUUGUGUAUAUUUCAUGGAGGGAAAGCUUACAUUAUUAGUUUAAUUUUUACUAGCGAUACGAAUUUGUGACUGUUUAUCGCAAUAUAAUUCCACUCUAUUGAGUGAAUCAAACACCAUAGAAAUAUUAUCAGUGUGUGUAUGAAUGAAUACAAAGAUAUGCACAUACUUUGAUUAGGAUGUUUCGUGGAUCAUUAAUAAAUAAAAACACAAAAUCCGGAUAGGGUACUCUUCAGCCCACUACCGCCUCUAGCGGCACAAAAACAGUCCCUCCGCCAAGUUUGUACCCCACAUUUGGUGAUGUAAGGUGCGCCUAUUCUAAAGGGACUGACUUGUGCUGCAAAGCUAGAAGUAAAAAUGUUAGCAUCAUCUUCCUUUCAAUAAUCUUCUCCUUCCUUCUCUGCCCCUUCCUCCUCGUCAUUCUGAUCCCGCUCCUGCUCCUUCUCCUCAAGUCCACGUGAUGGGCUGUAAGUGACUCCAUCAUCAUCAUCAUCAUCAUCAUCAUCGUUUAACGUCCACUUAUUCCCUAUGGUGGGGUCGGACGGGAUAUGAGCCUCCUCCACUGUUGCCAGUCCAUAGCCAUUUCUUCCGUGAUGUUCAGCUUCCUCAUAUCUUCCUCCACGUCUUCCUUGGUCUUCUGUCCUCUACCUCAAAGUUCAGUGCUCGUCUCAGGAUGUGUUCUUCUCCUCUUCUCACAUAUCCAAACCACCUUAAUCUGGUCUUACUCAGUAACUCCUCCAGGCCCUUCAGGCCACUCCUCCUCACCACUUCUUCAUUUGAAAUUCCAUCUUGCCAUCUGAUUGCCAUCAAAUAUCUAAGCAUUCUCACAUCACACCGUAUUAAUAGUGCUUCCAGCUGUUUCGUCGUAGCCCAAGUCUCUGUCCCAUACAGGAGCACCGAUCUCACACAGGUAACAAUUCAAUAUUAAACCUAAAAUUAGUAUUUGGAAGCUCUCCCUCCCCCAUUCUUCACACAAGUACACGCUGGACGCCGCCGGGAGUGUAUAUAAACGCUGCCUCUCCCUGGCUGCCGCACAAGUCUACCGGAAAUCCCUUGAAACACUCACAGCAACUAUGGCUCGUCUUCUGCUCCCGGUCAUGACUGUGGCCCUGGCCAUGGUGGCAGGCGCCAUGGGCCAGCAGGUGGGCUGCCCUUCAGGAUAUUACGAAGCUCAGAUUCCGACCUUCAGCCUUAUCAAUGCAAGAAAGUCUGUGCUUGAUGGAUUACUUCACGACCGUGCUUUUGUGGACUUGGUGUACAAUUGCUUCCUUGGAAGGAAUUGUGACCAAUGCUCCCAGAAUGACGCGGUUAAACAGACCUUAACGCUGCUGCCGUGGCUGUUCCGAGAUUGCACCCAGAACCCUGCCGUCUGCGACAAGAAUCAGAGAUCCAGAGCAGUAUACAUUGCCACACAAAUCAAAAAGAAGUACUUCUCUCGGUACCAGGAAAUCUUCAACCUCAUCACCUCUUCUUAAUAGGCACUUCACUACACAACCCGUGGCUGAGUUGUAGCGUGCUGGGCCCACAUUCAACGCGUGAUGGACGACACGAGUUCGAAUCCCCACGCUACCACCUCGGAUUUUUCAAUCACCCCCGAGUUGCUUAAAACUACCCACAUGCUGUCCUGAAGACCACCCAUCAACCCGGACUCUAGAGGAAACCGUCCAAGUUAAUCAAGAACGAGUUAUGGGGGGCAGCAUUAGCAAAGACAAGCUGGCGCCACUAUAAACACUUGCCUGCGCCGUGACGCCUGGAGCCGACUAACAUCCAAGCCCCUCUAACAAGCCUACUGGCGCAAUAGGCGUAGACGUAAAAAAAAAUAAAAAAUAAACGUCCCACAACCGCUCAUGUUUCCCGCUAUAUAACUCCCAUCAGUGUUUGUGGACUGUCUACACACACGUCAACUACUCCUUGUUGAAGUGUUCAUGUUUGAUAUUUAAUUUAAUAAAUCAAUAAUGUGAA